rnacentral:lncRNA from 1 species
AAAGUGCACCAGAAAUAUUACAUUAAUUUCUGGACCUAUGGCUGGUAUAGCUAUGAAAAUACGGAAAGUCAAACAGAAAAUAGCCCAUUAAACAUGUAAAAAUAACAUUGAUGUUUUUAUAAACCAUCUUUGAAGGCUAAAUUAGUAGUCAGCUGUCUGAAAAUGAAUUUUAUUGCACAACAACUUUCAUAUAUAAAAAAUCCACAGGGGCCAAAAUGCGAAACCAAACUCCUAACUGUGUAUUGCUGUCUUCUGGUUCCCAGAAAUUCCAGAAUAAAAAACAGGUACUAAGCCAACUAUACAACGGGGGAAAUAUGCCCUGUUUUUUAUUAAUUUUUUUCUGAUUAUUAUUCAACACGGGUCUUUAGUGAUCCUAAGUGAAUACGCUUUCAUUUGAUACCAAAAUGAACUAAAUAUUAUACUUAUUGACAAAGAUUUAUAAAUAUGCAUAGUAACUAUUUUGUUUGAUAUAAUGUACUACUUUGUAUGUUCUC